GAGCGCCGUAGCAAUACGGAGCGGCAGACGGGAGAGUAACACGUGGGAACGUGCCCUUCAGUUCGGAACAACCCAGGGAAACUUGGGCUAAUACCGGAUACGUCCGUAAGGAGAAAGAUUUAUCGCUGAAGGAUCGGCCCGCGUCUGAUUAGCUAGUUGGUGAGGUAACGGCUCACCAAGGCGACGAUCAGUAGCUGGUCUGAGAGGAUGAUCAGCCACAUUGGGACUGAGACACGGCCCAAACUCCUACGGGAGGCAGCAGUGGGGAAUAUUGGACAAUGGGCGCAAGCCUGAUCCAGCCAUGCCGCGUGAGUGAUGAAGGCCCUAGGGUUGUAAAGCUCUUUUGUGCGGGAAGAUAAUGACGGUACCGCAAGAAUAAGCCCCGGCUAACUUCGUG
rnacentral:rRNA from 1 species